GCCGCCGUCGCCAUCGCUCGAUGCUUCUGCGCCUUUCGAAGCAUGUUUUGAAGCCUGGGUGCUGCAGCUGCGCGG
rnacentral:ribozyme from 1 species